rnacentral:miRNA from 1 species
UUGGGGAAACGGCCGCUGAGUG